rnacentral:rRNA from 1 species
AUUGAACGCUGGCGGCAGGCCUAACACAUGCAAGUCGAGCGCGAAAGUUCUUCGGAACGAGUAGAGCGGCGGACGGGUGAGUAACGCGUGGGAAAUUGCCCAGUAGUGGGGGACAACAUUCGGAAACGGAUGCUAAUACCGCAUACGCCCUACGGGGGAAAGCAGGGGAUCUUCGGACCUUGCGCUAUUGGAUAUGCCCGCGUCGGAUUAGCUAGUUGGUGAGGUAAUGGCUCACCAAGGCAACGAUCCGUAGCUGGUCUGAGAGGAUGAUCAGCCACACUGGGACUGAGACACGGCCCAGACUCCUACGGGAGGCAGCAGUGGGGAAUAUUGGACAAUGGGCGGAAGCCUGAUCCAGCCAUGCCGCGUGUGUGAAGAAGGCCCUAGGGUUGUAAAGCACUUUCAGUAGGGAGGAAGGCCUUAAAAGUUAAUACCUUUGAGGAUUGACGUUACCUACAGAAGAAGCACCGGCUAACUCCGUGCCAGCGCCGCGGUAA